GGAUAAACGCGUGUUGUUCAGCAGAGGCCGUUAACCUUUAAAGCGCUGAUACGUUUUGGUUUGUUUCAAUUUUUUUACACCCGAAUUGCUGUCUUUUUAAGAAGUCUCUGAAAUCGUCUCCCUUGACAGGGCAAGCGAAACGUGCCUUAAAUCUCCAUCUCGUGGAAGAUCUGCUUGGCUGGCAGCUGAUAUAUGUUGCUGUUGGCUUUUAAGGAACAUCUCUGUGUUGUGUUGCUUUUGUUGUUUAGCUUUAUUAUUUUUUUCCUUUUUCUCUUUGUUUGAUUGGGUAUUUUUGGUCUUUUGCAUUUGGUUUUUCAAAGAGCUUUGGCAAACACCAGAGCCAUCAAGGCCAGGGCAGGCCCUCUUUCCUUCUUCUCUUACUGAUGCUCUUGACCUGAGUUCCUUGCAUGCUCCUCUUCAAUCUACCAAGGUGCAAAAUUUGCAAAAUUAUCUACUGCCUCCAAUCCCAGCCUUCUCCCAUCUGUGGGAUGCUCCCUCCAUUUCUGUCUGGUGACCCUUCCUCAGAAAGAACCAUCAGGCCUCUACAUCUUUUUCGCCUUUCAUUCCACACAAAAUCCUGUUCAGAGUUCUUGAGUGCCUGCCUGGAGGUGAAGGAGCAUGGGGAUCUUUGUGGUAUCUGCUGAAGUCCAUGAGCCUUGACCCCAACUUCUGAGGGAGGAAUCAGACCUGGAGAAAAGUUCCUGCAAUUCAAAGAAACCAGGUGGCAACUUCUGGAAGAAGACUGUUGAAACUCAAACCCGAACUUCCAGCCUGAAUGUCCAUCAGGCCUUGAUAACCAAAGUGCACCAGGAAGAUGAGCAAUAACUGCAGUGCCAUAUGCCAGAGAUCAAUGGAUAAAAUACCCUGCAAGGGCCUGAGAAGGCUCCCAGCUUGCCUGAUACCCAUGAACCCAAAUGCAAAAGAGAACAUGGCAAAUGACACUUAAUCCCAAAGUGAGCAAAGCUGUCCUUGUACCCAGAGGAACAACUGGCAGCUGACACAGGACUGGGACCUCCAGGGAUCUCUGCAGGAGCAAAGUCUCCUCUGGGGAGGAUUAAAGCUUGAUGCAAACUCCAAGGUCACCUCUGCAUGAGCAGUGGGAAAGGAACAGUGUAAAACUUGGGAUCACCUGAGCUCUCUGGCAUCCAGCUGCUUAGCAGGGUUUGGGUUUAUUGCACGGGAGAUUCCACAAAGAGCUUUCACUCACCAGGAGCUCUGGGUUCUGCAGAGUCUGAUGGAUAUCCUUAAACAUUUUGGAGUGACAAUUUGGAGGGUAGCUGGCAAAACAUGAGCCAGUAAGACACUGUAGAGAGAUGAAUUCACAAGCAGAAAGUUUUAGAGAGGGUAUUUGAGAAUGAAAGAGUGAUACCACCAACCUUCACCAUUCAUUUAUUUAAAUUUAUGCUAUAAAGUGGACAGCAGAGGAAAGUCAAAACUUGCACUGAUGAUUUUUCAUUCUCUUCCUCCCCCUGGCCCUGAUCUUUUAUUUAUUAAACUGCUCUGGGUACACCUUUCAAAUGACUUUUUUUGGCUUACUGUUUAUUAUGUCUUCAUCAGCCUUGAAAUGGCAGCUGCAGGCAGCUUGAUAAAUGGAUCGAAAAGCUGCUUCUGCCAGAGUCAAGCUAACAAAACCCCCUCAGUAUCCAUAAGCCUUUUUGUUUUAGCAUUUCUAAAACAAGCACUAUUUCCCUCAAAGCAUCACUGAAAAGUGAUGCACCAGUACCCCUGAGUAAUUCAACAAAGGGAUUUUUUUAUCCAGUGAUGCCCAGGGCAGAAGUUCCUCACUGGGUCAUGGACAGGACUCAGCCUGCAGCUCUGGAGAGCAAGGGCAGAGAAAGAGAGAGAGAGAGAGAGAGAGAGAGAGAGAGAGAGAGAUGUGGUCUUAGGAAGGCUGAGAAAAUCUUCACUCCAAAAUGAGCUGGGCAGAUCAAUGGAGGAAAUGAGGCAAAAUGUAUGAAGUUGUGUCCUGCUCACAGAGACUUGCAGCUUCCAUGCAGCUGUUUUUUACCCAGAUACUUUCUGAACUCUUCAUUUCCUCCCAAUCCUUCUUUAAAUAUGAACAGCUCAAUAUGUCCCUGGUUCAAACCUUUUGUCCUUAGCACAUUUGUAUUCCACAGUUGGCCCAGCCUGGCAGUAAACAGGGGUUUAGCUACUGUGGCUUAUUGACAGUGGUGAAUGGUUCAGCCCCAUCUGUGAAGGUACAAAAUACCCACAAGAAAAUUAACACCCUAUAGGAAAGUGCUAAGGAACCAUCCAUGUGAAAACUUGCCAUGUUAUCUGCUGCAGCUUCCAGCACAAAUGUUGCAGCAAAGGAAGG